rnacentral:tRNA from 1 species
CAUGGCUCAGUGGUACAGCACUUACUUAGGAUGCAGAAGGUCCAGGUUCAAUCCCUGACAGCAAGA